AGAGUUUGAUCCUGGCUCAGGAUGAACGCUAGCUACAGGCUUAACACAUGCAAGUCGAGGGGAAACGAUAUUGGAAGCUUGCUUCCGAUAGGCGUCGACCGGCGCACGGGUGAGUAACGCGUAUCCAACCUGCCCACCACUUGGGGAUAACCUUGCGAAAGUAAGACUAAUACCCAAUGAUAUCUCUAGAAGACAUCUGAAAGGGAUUAAAGAUUUAUCGGUGAUGGAUGGGGAUGCGUCUGAUUAGCUUGUUGGCGGGGUAACGGCCCACCAAGGCGACGAUCAGUAGGGGUUCUGAGAGGAAGGUCCCCCACAUUGGAACUGAGACACGGUCCAAACUCCUACGGGAGGCAGCAGUGAGGAAUAUUGGUCAAUGGGCGAGAGCCUGAACCAGCCAAGUAGCGUGCAGGAUGACGGCCCUAUGGGUUGUAAACUGCUUUUAUAAGGGAAUAAAGUGAGCCUCGUGAGGCUUUUUGCAUGUACCUUAUGAAUAAGGACCGGCUAAUUCCGUGCCAGCAGCCGCGGUAAUACGGAAGGUCCGGGCGUUAUCCGGAUUUAUUGGGUUUAAAGGGAGCGUAGGCCGGAGAUUAAGCGUGUUGUGAAAUGUAGAUGCUCAACAUCUGCACUGCAGCGCGAACUGGUUUCCUUGAGUACGCACAAAGUGGGCGGAAUUCGUGGUGUAGCGGUGAAAUGCUUAGAUAUCACGAAGAACUCCGAUUGCGAAGGCAGCUCACUGGAGCGCAACUGACGCUGAAGCUCGAAAGUGCGGGUAUCGAACAGGAUUAGAUACCCUGGUAGUCCGCACGGUAAACGAUGGAUGCCCGCUGUUGGUCUGAAUAGGUCAGCGGCCAAGCGAAAGCAUUAAGCAUCCCACCUGGGGAGUACGCCGGCAACGGUGAAACUCAAAGGAAUUGACGGGGGCCCGCACAAGCGGAGGAACAUGUGGUUUAAUUCGAUGAUACGCGAGGAACCUUACCCGGGCUUGAAUUGCAGAGGAAGGAUUUGGAGACAAUGACGCCCUUCGGGGUCUCUGUGAAGGUGCUGCAUGGUUGUCGUCAGCUCGUGCCGUGAGGUGUCGGCUUAAGUGCCAUAACGAGCGCAACCCCUCUCCUUAGUUGCCAUCAGGUCAAGCUGGGCACUCUGGGGACACUGCCACCGUAAGGUGUGAGGAAGGUGGGGAUGACGUCAAAUCAGCACGGCCCUUACGUCCGGGGCUACACA
rnacentral:rRNA from 1 species